GACGAACGCUGGCGGCGGGCUUAACACAUGCAAGUCGAACGGAAAGGCCCUGCUUUUGUGGGGUGCUCGAGUGGCGAACGGGUGAGUAACACGUGAGUAACCUGCCCUUGACUUUGGGAUAACUUCAGGAAACUGGGGCUAAUACCGGAUAGGAGCUCCUGCUGCAUGGUGGGGGUUGGAAAGUUUCGGCGGUUGGGGAUGGACUCGCGGCUUAUCAGCUUGUUGGUGGGGUAGUGGCUUACCAAGGCUUUGACGGGUAGCCGGCUUGAGAGGGUGACCGGCCACAUUGGGACUGAGAUACGGCCCAGACUCCUACUGGAGGCAGCAGUGGGGAAUAUUGCACAAUGGGCGGAAGCCUGAUGCAGCAACGCCGCGUGCGGGAUGACGGCCUUCGGGUUGUAAACCGCUGUCGCCUGUGACGAAGCGUGAGUGACGGUAAUGGGUAAAGAAGCACCGGCUAACUACGUG
rnacentral:rRNA from 1 species